rnacentral:rRNA from 1 species
GGCGAGCGCUGCUACCUGCAGUCGACGAGAAGUUUCCUUCGGGAAGCGAGUAGAGUGGCGCACGGGUGAGUAACACGUAGGUAAUCUGUCCUCGAACCUGGAAUAACAUGGCGAAAGCGAUGCUAAUACCGGAUAAAGUUUUUUGAACUACGGUUUAAGAAAUGAAAGGCCGCUUCGGCAGUCGAUCGAGGGUGAGCCUGCGUCCCAUUAGCUAGUUGGUAAGGUAAUGGCUUACCAAGGCAACGAUGGGUAGCUGGUCUGAGAGGAUGAUCAGCCACACUGGGACUGAAACACGGUCCAGACUCCUACGGGAGGCAGCAGUGAGGAAUUUUGCGCAAUGGGGGAAACCCUGACGCAGCAAUGCCGCGUGAGUGAAGAAGGCCUUCGGGUCGUAAAGCUCUGUCAAAUAGGAAGAAUGUAUUUAUAGUUAAUAGCAUUAAAUGGUGACGGUACUAUUAGAGGAAGCACCGGCUAACUCCGUGCCAGCAGCCGCGGUAAUACGGAGGGUGCAAGCGUUAUUCGGAAUCAUUGGGCGUAAAGGGCGCGUAGGCGGUUUGACAAGUCAGAUGUGAAAUCCCGGGGCUUAACCCCGGUAGGUCAUUUGAAACUGUCAGACUUGAGUGAGGUAGAGGAAAGCGGAAUUCCUGGUGUAGCGGUGAAAUGCGUAGAUAUCAGGAGGAACAUCUGUGGCGAAGGCGGCUUUCUGGACCUAAACUGACGCUGAUGCGCGAAGGCGUGGGUAGCAAACGGGAUUAGAUACCCCGGUAGUCCACGCAGUAAACGUUGAUUACUAGGUGUUGGUUGCAUAAAGCAAUCAGUGCCGCAGCAAACGCGUUAAGUAA